AAGGAUCAUUACAGAGUUCAUGCCCUUCGGGGUAGAUCUCCCACCCUUGUGUAUCAUUAUAGAAUGUUGCUUUGGCGGGCCGCGUGCCCAGCACGCCUCGAUUCGCGUCGAGCGUAUCCGCCAGAGGACCCCUAAACUCUGAAUGUUAGUGUCGUCCGAGUACUAUUAAAUAGUUAAAACUUUCAACAACGGAUCUCUUGGUUCUGGCAUCGAUGAAGAACGCAGCGAAAUGCGAUAAGUAAUGUGAAUUGCAGAAUUCAGUGAAUCAUCGAAUCUUUGAACGCACAUUGCGCCCCUUGGUAUUCCGGGGGGCAUGCCUGUUCGAGCGUCAUUUAUACCAAUCUAGCCUGGCUAGGUGUUGGGCCUCGCCGUUUGGCGGGCCUUAAAACCAGUGGCGGUGCUCUUAGGCUCUACGCGUAGUAAUUUUCUCGCUAUAGGGUCCUGGGAGANGCUUGCCAGCAACCCCAAAUUUUUCUAGGUUGACCUCGGAUCAGGUAGGGAUACCCGCUGAACUUAA
rnacentral:rRNA from 1 species